AUUUAUAUAGUUUAAUUUAAAACAUUUUAUUUUCAUUAAAAAAAUAAUAAUUAAUAUUUAUAAAUU
rnacentral:tRNA from 1 species